rnacentral:misc_RNA from 1 species
UCCGGUUUGGCACCGGCAGUCCCCCGAGAGUCCUCAGCGCUUUGCAGCCUGUUAGCAACACGGGGCGGGGGUUGCGCUCGUUGCGGGACUUAACCCAACAUCUCACGACACGAGCUGACGACAGCCAUGCAGCACCUGUGCACGGGCUCCGAAGAGGGCCCGAUGUUUCCACCGGGUUUCCCGUGCAUGUCAAGCCUAGGUAAGGUUCUGCGCGUUGCGUCGAAUUAAACCACAUGCUCCACCGCUUGUGCGGGCCCCCGUCAAUUCCUUUGAGUUUCAGCCUUGCGGCCGUACUCCCCAGGCGGGGCACUUCAUGCGUUAGCGCCGGUACCCUGGGGGUCGCUCCCCAAAGCACCUAGUGCCCAUCGUUUACGGCGUGGACUAC